UACGAAGGGUGCAACGUUAUUCGGAUUAAUUGGGCGUACAGGGUGCGCAGGCGGUAUGUUAAGUCAACUGUUAAAUCUCCCAGCCUAACUGGGAAUCAGCGGUAGAUACUGGCAUGCUAGAGGGUGGAAGAGAGAAGUGGAAUUCUUGGAGUAGCGGUAAAAUGCGUAGAUCUCAAGAGGAACACCGAUGGCGAAGGCAGCUUCUUGGUCCACAUCUGACGCUCAUGCACGAAAGCGUGGGGAGCAAACAGG
rnacentral:rRNA from 1 species